rnacentral:lncRNA from 1 species
GGUGUGCCUUGCAAUCUUCCGCCACCCUUCGGAUUUUCCGCUGGGAGGGAGAGAUGAAGCCAAAUGCAGAAACUCCAUGAAAAAGGAAAAUGUUUCAAUCCAUGUAACUUUCACCCCAAACUAAGAAAUGAAUGAACAGGUGCUGCUGCAUUCUUCCAGUGACCCUAAAUGGACAAAAACAAGGAAGGUAGCAAGCAGCGUCUGUAGAUGCCAAGCACUUGGACAGAUGGUUCUUCUUUAUGUCCGGAGGAAAACAAGUCCUCCAAAGAAGGGAUGUAGGAAAGCUGCAGAGCCAAAGACCAAGGGAACCAUGCCAAUGUGCAUUCUUACCAAAGGGAAAACUGAGAGACCAAAGAACAUGUUCUCUGUGGCAAGAGAUAAGGUUAAGGGGACAAUAGCAACAAGUACUCAUUUUAUCACACAUCUGACUCCCCACAGGAUCCUCAGUAUCUCAAAGGUGGGAACCUGUCUUCUUCAUGUCCCCAGCAGAGUAUGCGGCUAUUAGCAAACAUUAAGCAAAUAAAGAAAUAAAUGCUGCCUUCAUUUUCUCUUGAAUAUUUGCUUCUUUUAUUUUAAAAGAUGUAUUUGUUUUAGAAAGACAGAGCGAGCCAGUGGGGGGAGGGGAGAGGGAGAGAAUCUUUAAGCAGGAUCCCCAGUUAGUGUGGAGUCCAAUGAGGGGCUCGAUCUCACCACCCACCAGGUCAGGACCUGAGCCGAAACC